GUGGCAAAUCCCCUUGAGCUUAUCUGGAGAAGGACCUUGGUGUCUUCAAGCUAAGAGCCACUGCCUCUGAGAUACUCCACUACCAAAAUCAUCACUGCACCUAGACGGUUCUGUUAUAAUACACAGAUCUCCAUGGCGACUGGAAAGCAGGUGAUGAGAGCCAUGUUACUCAUCAUUCUGUUGUGAUGCAUGGUGCUGCGACAUCUUACUGCAUGAACGUCCUCCUAGGUGAUUUCAUGUGUGGGAAACAGAGAUCCCAGCAAACGAUCAGUGAGAAGUUCAUCUCAGUGAAUUAUCAUGAGGUUAAUUGACACAUUUAAGGCCAUAUCCAGACAUGGAGGAAAAUCAAGUCUGAUACACUUCUGGUUCUUAAUGGGGAAAUGUUCUCUAACUGUAGUUCAUGAAUGGGGAGAAAUACUUUCAUUCUCUUCAGUUUUCUGAAAAAAGCAGCAAGCAAUACAAUAAAAGAAAAUCCCUUUUGGACCACCAUCAAGGGGUAGGAGGAAGAACUUGUGAAAUAUAGAGUUAUUUUUCCUCUGAGAUGCUCAGCUACAUUAUACUGGGUCAUAAUUAAAUCAGCAGAGACUGAUAUCUUUGGAACACCCAUUGUAAGCCAGACUGGUAUUAAUCAUCUCCAAGGUGAUCCUAGUUACUAUGGGAACGAUGAUAUUUGUUUGUGUUCUUAGCGCUGGCUAGUCGCCGAAGUUUGGCAGUCUCCAUAUAGUAAUCCAGCUGAUUAGAAAUGCUAAGUUGCUGUCAUGAAUUUUUCAUUACUGCUGUCAGUAUGAAUCUGUCCUUUACAGGAAUAAUUACUAAUUAAUAAAUCCUAUUCUCUGUUCAGGAGGGAAAGGUUGCCUAUGCUAAACCUGCCCUUUUGUAACCAAGCUGUUUAAGCCCUUUUGGGCUCUGUCAGGCAAAAAAAAAAGCAUUGUUUUUUUACUCACUAAGCUCUCUUUUUGAAAAUGCGUAAACUCCUUGCCAGCCCUUUUUUCCCGUGACUUUUAGAAAUACUUACUGAAAAAGAUGGAUAAUCUCAACUGGAGGCUUGACUCACAUAUAGCGUUCCCCCUAGUUUAAUUACUUUCUGCUCUCCAGCUGCUCUGGAGAAUUGCUCCGGCUCAGGAAAGCGUGUCUGGAGGUCGGCAUGAGCUCCCGGACCCCGGCUGCCCUCCUCACACAGCCGGGGGAAACCAGGCCAUCCUGCCCCCGGAAUGGGUCCCACUGCCACAGGUGCCCCAGCGCAGGCCCCCCUCCUCGGGGUAUCUGUCGCGCCCCAUCCACGGGGCAGCCCCCGAGGCUCGUCGGGUCUCGACUAACCUGACCCAGAGCAGCAGGUGACCUGCACCGCCUGCUCCUGGGGCAGCAGGGCUGGGGGGAAAGAGCAGGGGGAAGCAGCCGAACACUCCUGGGAAGCCACAAAAGCAGUCGUUAAUGUAUCAGUGGGGAAAAAGUCUUGUGAUCGCUGAUUCAGUGCUUAAAAAAAAUUGACAAAAAGCCUGGACGAAUUACUGAAAAUGCGAUGGGUAGAGGAGAAGGGAAAGCAGCAAGGUAGUGAGAGAGCAUUUCAUUUUCCUGCUUCAGCGCAUGUCAUUCCUCUGUGUAGAUGCCAUGCUUUGCUUCCCUUUGUAUUUUGCCAGGAGAGAAGUGGACAGCGUUUAUAAAGUCAGCCCCUUUUGAAUCACACAGAUAAUGUGACCUCACUUCACUGGGAAGCCGUAAACUCUCACAGACACCUUUAUUAUAAUGGUGAGGCUCGCUGCCUUGAUCGGGAAGCCGCAGCAUGCACCUGGGGUGUAGGGUGCAGAACUGAAGCCACACGCAGAGCUUCAGCCCUUGCAGGCUGAGGAAACAUCAGACAGACUGAGUGACAGCGAGUGAAGGAGAAGCAACAGCCCACAUACUAAGGCAGCAAGGAUGAAGGUACCAAAUAGGAAAGCCAAUACUGAAGCAACCAGCCUCUCUCUGUCCCCUGAGGUCAGUAUUUUCAGAGCUCCGGUCACACUCCAAAC